rnacentral:rRNA from 1 species
GACGAACGCUGGCGGCGUGCCUAAUACAUGCAAGUAGAACGCUGAAGGAGGAGCUUGCUUCUCUGGAUGAGUUGCGAACGGGUGAGUAACGCGUAGGUAACCUGCCUGGUAGCGGGGGAUAACUAUUGGAAACGAUAGCUAAUACCGCAUAAUAGCAGUUGUUGCAUGACAACUGUUUGAAAGGUGCAAUUGCACCACUACCAGAUGGACCUGCGUUGUAUUAGCUAGUUGGUGGGGUAACGGCUCACCAAGGCGACGAUACAUAGCCGACCUGAGAGGGUGAUCGGCCACACUGGGACUGAGACACGGCCCAGACUCCUACGGGAGGCAGCAGUAGGGAAUCUUCGGCAAUGGACGGAAGUCUGACCGAGCAACGCCGCGUGAGUGAAGAAGGUUGUCGGAUCGUAAAGCUCUGUUGUAAGAGAAGAACGAGUGUGAGAGUGGAAAGUUCACACUGUGACGGUAUCUUACCAGAAAGGGACGGCUAACUACGUG